GAAAAGAAGCUUCCGCAACAAGCUCAAGAAGAGGGGUACUAACAAAGUCACAGAUUCAACAACUGUUAAAGAGAGGGCACUGGCAUGAGGAUACUAGAAUGCACUAAGUAUGUAAAACAGCAUCCUCCAAUGACAAGGUGAAGAACAUUAUGGGCCUCUGCAUUUAAAAGGUAUUAGUUGUUGCAUCUAAAUGGCUCACAGUAUAUGACACUCAUUUAACGCAUCCUGCCAUUUCUUAAGGAUCAUGUAAUUUCCAUGAAGCCGACUUCCAUAUCAGAGUUAGAAUUAAUGCAGACAACUAUUUUUGUAAUGAGCAGUGUCUUAUCCAAACUUAGUUUCUGGAAUGGCAUUUUCCCAUCAUCUUUUAAGGUAUCUUAAGUAUGGAAAAUAUCAAUAGUGUGUCUGCAUGUGUCCAAGUUCCUAGCAAAGUUCAUGAUUGUGGGAAACGUUUACAGGAGCUGUUGGUUUACCUUCGUUCCUAUAAUUUUUUUUUCAUGUAAAUUAUGAGCGAUUGUAUUGCUCUCUUAUUUUUUCCUCAGUACUUAUAACUGUAGCUUAAAGAUUCCAAGCAGCGAGACCUAUCAAAUACCACAGAUUUGUUUACAUGUAUACAUUGUUGAUGGGUACAUUUUAAUAGACUCGGUUAAUU